rnacentral:tRNA from 1 species
GAGGGUAUAACUCAGCGCUAGAGUGCAUGCUUAGCAUACAUGAUAUCCUGGGUUCAAUCCCCAGUGCCUCCG